rnacentral:lncRNA from 1 species
UAAAUCUAAAAUAGAAUUAAGCGAAACAUUAAAUGAAAAAAUAACAGAAAAACUGAGAGAGGAAAUAAAAGGCCCAACUAAUAGAGUUAAAAACAAAGAUAAUAGUAAUAGUAGUAAUACAAGCAAUGAUGCUAAUAAUAAUGAAUUAUUGGGCUCAAAUUUUGUAAGUGAUAAAAUUAAGGCUUAUUUUUUGAAUAAAAAAUUAAUGCUUACACAAAAUAGUAAUAAUAGACGCAAGCAAAAAGAAAAAGAAAUUGUAGUAAGCGAAGAAGAAGUGGGAGAGAUGUAUGAAGUGAAUAUGCAUGACAAAAAUAAAAAGCACAAUGUCAAAAGGUAUGACAUAUGUGAUAAACAUGAUAAAAUAUCAGAGCACUCGAAAUACCAUCAAGCGAGUAAAAAAAAUAGAGGCGAUUCUUUAUUAACUACACAAGAAAAGGAAAAUAAACAAACUAGCAGAAUGAAUAAUAACUUAAAAUAUCAUGACUAUUUAUUAGCAAAAAAGUAUUUAAAAGGAGGAGACCUAGUUGCAACGGAAUUGAUAAGCAGUUAUACUGAUGGUGGUAGUAGCCACUGCAGUAGCAGUCGCAUUAGAAGUAGAAGUAGAAGUAAAAGUAGCAAUCGCAGUAAUCGCAGUCGUAGUAAUUGUAGUAGAAGUAGCAGCUACAAUAGAAGUAGUUACUACGUCAGUGACAACAUGAAGUACGCAUCUAAUUACAGUCACAAGAUUAUGGCCAUACACAAUGAUAACAGUUUUACUAAUAAUAGCGAUAGUGGUAAAAAAGAAGUAACGUUAUUCGAUUCGUUUCAAGAUUUAUGUCAUAAUGAUAACAAAAAAAUAAAACUAAUAAAUUAUAAUAAAAUUUUAAACAAGAGUUUAUAUAAUACUGUUAAUGAUAUUAACGAUCAGCAUAUAAAAAAAAGAAAAAGCGACAAAAGUUAUAAACGUAGCAAAAAGGCUGUUACAAAAAAAAGUACAAGUCCUGUGCAUACUGACUUGUCAGAAAACAACGUAAAACAAAUUAUCAAAAAUAUAAAAAAGAGAUUAGGUUUUUGUUCAGACAGGGGGAGUGGUACUUGUAGUGAUAGUAAUAGUACAAAAGAGGCAAAAGAGGCAAAAAAGGCAAAAAAGGCAAAAGAGGCAAAAGAGGCAAAAGAGGCAAAAGAGGCAAAAGAGGCAAAAGAGGCAAAAGAGGCAAAAGAGGCAAAAGAGGCAAAAGAGGCAAAAGAGGCAAAAGAGGCAAAAGAGGCAAAA